rnacentral:rRNA from 1 species
GAUGAACGCUAGCUACAGGCUUAACACAUGCAAGUCGAGGGGAAACGGCAUUAAGUGCUUGCACUUUUUGGACGUCGACCGGCGCACGGGUGAGUAACGCGUAUCCAACCUUCCCAUGACUAAGGGAUAACCUGCCGAAAGGCAGACUAAUACCUUAUGGUCUUCACUGACGGCAUCAGAUGUGAAGUAAAGAUUUAUCGGUUAUGGAUGGGGAUGCGUCUGAUUAGCUUGUUGGCGGGGUAACGGCCCACCAAGGCAACGAUCAGUAGGGGUUCUGAGAGGAAGGUCCACCACAUUGGAACUGAGACACGGUCCAAACUCCUACGGGAGGCAGCAGUGAGGAAUAUUGGUCAAUGGGCGAGAGCCUGAACCAGCCAAGUAGCGUGCAGGAUGACGGCCCUAUGGGUUGUAAACUGCUUUUGUAUGGGGAUAAAGUCAAUCACGUGUGAUUGUUUGCAGGUACCAGACGAAUAAGGACCGGCUAAUUCCGUG